UGGGUUUAGACCCACGGCAAACGGGUGAGUAAUACCUAGGAACGUAUCUUGAGUUGAGCAUAAUCCACCGAAAGGUGGGAUAAUUCUCAAUGUGGCAGCAAUGCUAAAGUCGCAAGACGCUCAUGAAGCGGCCUGGGCACCAUCAGCUAGUUGGUAAGGUAAAAGCUUACCAAGGCUAUGACGGUUAGGGGCCCCGAGAGGGGAAACCCCCACACUGGAACUGCGACACGGUCCAG
rnacentral:rRNA from 1 species